UACGGAGGGGACUAGCGUUGUUCGGAAUUACUGGGCGUAAAGCGCACGUAGGCGGAUUGUUAAGUCAGGGGUGAAAUCCCGAGGCUCAACCUCGGAACUGCCUUUGAUACUGGCAAUCUCGAGUCCGGAAGAGGUGAGUGGAAUUCCUAGUGUAGAGGUGAAAUUCGUAGAUAUUCGCAAGAACACCAGUGGCGAAGGCGGCUCACUGGCCCGGUACUGACGCUGAGGUGCGAAAGCGUGGGGAGCGAACAGG
rnacentral:rRNA from 1 species